UAGCAUACGCUUGUCUCAAAGAUUAAGCCAUGCAUGUCUAAGUAUAAACAACUUUAUACGUGAAACUGCGAAUGGCUCAUUAUAUCAGUUAUAGUUUCUUUGAUGGUGACACUACUUGGAUAACCGUAGUAAUUCUAGAGCUAAUACAUGCAGCAAUCCCUGACUUAGGAAAGGGUGUACUUAUUAGAUGGAAACCAAUGAGGGGCAACCCUGUAUAUGGUGAUUCAUAAUAAUUUUCGGAUCGAUCUUUGAUCGAUGCAUCAUUCAAGUUUCUGCC
rnacentral:rRNA from 1 species